CAGCCGCCACGGUAAUACGAGGGGGGCAAGCGUUGUUCGGAGUUAUUGGGCGUAAAGGGUGCGUAAGCGGUCGGAUAAGUCUGAUGUGAAAUCUAUGGGCUCAACCCAUAGUCUGCAUCGGAAACUGUCAGGCUUGAGGAUGGGAGAGGUGAGUGGAGUUUCCGGUGUAGCGGUGAAAUGCGUAGAGAUCGGGAGGAACAUCAGUGGCGAAGGCGGCCAUCUGGGACAACACUGACGCUGAGGCACGAAAGCGUGGGGAGCAAACAGGAUUAGAUACCCGCGUAGUCCCUGUCUCUUAUAC
rnacentral:rRNA from 1 species